CCAAGGAGUCUAACAUGUGCGCGAGUCGUCGAGUCACAAUCGAAACUCGUGAGGCGCAAUGAAAGUGAAGCAGCCCUGAUGAAGGUGUUCUGUGCGGGAAGAUCUCUACUUUUUUUCAAACCGGAGAGAGCGCAUUCCCGGGGCGUUCGAAGCCGCGACUUUAGUCGGCCGAACGGACCCAGAGCGUACACGUUGGGACCCGAAAGAUGGUGACCUAUGCCUGGCCAGGACGAAGCCAGGGGAAACCCUGGUGGAGGUCCGCAGCGAUUCUGACGUGCAAAUCGAUCGUCGGAGUUGGGUAUAGGGGCGAAAGACUAAUCGAACCAUCUAGUAGCUGGUUCCCCCCGAAGUUUCCCUCAGGAUAGCUGGUGCUCGCAAGGAAAACGAACGGAGUUUCAUCCGGUAAAGCGAAUGAUUAGAGGCCUUGGGGUCGAAACGACCUCAACCUAUUCUCAAACUUUCAAUGGGUGAGAAGCCCGGCCUUCGAUUCUUGAUUGAGGCCGGGCAUUAGAAUCUGAGCGCCCAGUGGGCCAUUUUUGGUAAGCAGAACUGGCGCUGUGGGAUGAACCAAACGCCCGGUUAAGGCGCCUAAACAACGCACAUUUCGGAUCCCACGAAAAGGAGUUGGUUGCUAAAGACAGCAGGACGGUGGCCAUGGAGGUCGGAACCCGCUCAGGAGUGUGUAACAACUCACCUGCCGAAGCAACUAGCCCUUAAAAUGGGAGGCGCUAUAGCGUUGUGCCUAUACCGGGCCGCCGGUCGGCAGUGUAUACAAACGUAUUCUUCUCGAAGAGAGAUAAGAAACGCUGAGGCCCCGGCGAGUAGGGGGGUCGCGACGGUGAGCGUUGAAGGGUUGUGGGCGUGAGCCUGCCCGGAGCCGCCGUCGGUGCAGAUCUUGGUGGUAGUAGCAAAUACUCCAGAGG
rnacentral:rRNA from 1 species